rnacentral:rRNA from 1 species
UACGAAGGGGGGCUAGCGUUGCUCGGAAUUACUGGGCGUAAAGGGCGCGUAGGCGGACAGUUAAGUCAGAGGUGAAAGCCCAGGGCUCAACCCUGGAAUUGCCUUUGAUACUGGCUGUCUUGAGUGCGGGAGAGGUGUGUGGAACUCCGAGUGUAGAGGUGAAAUUCGUAGAUAUUCGGAAGAACACCAGUGGCGAAGGCGACUCACUGGACAUGUAUUGACGCUGAGGUGCGAAAGCGUGGGGAGCAAACAGG